rnacentral:lncRNA from 1 species
UCGGAGUACCAUUUGACAUACAAACAUUAACAUGAAUCGAAACUUAUAACUUAACACGAUUAAACACAUUGCACCUCUACCUACCUUGAUUGAUGCUUUUGAAACUUUGAAAACUUGGAUUGAAAACUUUGAUGAAACUUGGAUGUUGAAAGAAAUGCACUCCUUGGAUGUUUGAAAAUCGUUGAGAAUUGAUGCUUGAAAACACUUCUUAAACUUCUAGGAAAAAUAGUUUUCCACUUGGACGUUGAAAGAAAUACACUCCUUCGAUGUUUGAAAACUGUUGAGAAUUGAUGUUUGAAAACACUUCUUAAACUUCUAUGAAAAAUAGUUUUCCUCCCUCUCUUUUUCUCU